rnacentral:miRNA from 1 species
CAACCGGAUAUGGAUUAAAUC